UGGUUCAUGCGCUCGGCCGAGCGGCCGGU
rnacentral:sRNA from 1 species